rnacentral:rRNA from 1 species
CCUACGGGUGGCAGCAGUGAGGAAUAUUGGUCAAUGGACGCGAGUCUGAACCAGCCAAGUAGCGUGAAGGAUGACUGCCCUAUGGUUUGUACACUUCUUUUAUAAAGGCAUAAAACGCGGCACGUGUGCCUUUUUGCAUGUACUUUAUGAAUAAGGAUCGGCUAACUCCGUGCCAGCAGCCGCGGUACUACGGAGGAUCCGAGCGUUAUCCGGAUUUAUUGGGUUUAAAGGGAGCGUAGAUGGGUUGUUAAGUCAGUUGGGAAAGUUUGCGGCUCAACCGUAAAAUUGCAAUUGAUACUGGCAGUCUGGAGUACAGUUGAGGUAGGCGGAAUUCGUGGUGUAGCGGUGAAAUGCUUAGAUAUCACGAAGAACCCCGAUUGCGAAGGCAGCUUACUAAACUGUGACUGACAUUGAUGCUCGAAAGUGUGGGUAUCAAACAGGAUUAGAUACCCGAGUAGUC